rnacentral:rRNA from 1 species
AGUGAACGCUGGCGGUAGGCCUAACACAUGCAAGUCGAACGGCAGCACAGUAAGAGCUUGCUCUUACGGGUGGCGAGUGGCGGACGGGUGAGGAAUACAUCGGAAUCUACUUUUUCGUGGGGGAUAACGUAGGGAAACUUACGCUAAUACCGCAUACGACCUACGGGUGAAAGCAGGGGAUCUUCGGACCUUGCGCGAUUGAAUGAGCCGAUGUCGGAUUAGCUAGUUGGCGGGGUAAAGGCCCACCAAGGCGACGAUCCGUAGCUGGUCUGAGAGGAUGAACAGACACAUGGAAACGGAGGCACGGUCCAGACCCCGACGGGGGGAAGCAGGGGGGAAUAUUGAAAAAGGGGCGCAGGCCUGACCCACCAAUCCCGGGGGGGGAAAGAGGCCCUGGGGUUUGAAAGCCCUUUUUGUGGGAAAAAAAAAACAGAGGUUAAUUCCCCCCGUGUCCGGACGGACCCAAAAAAAAAGACCCCGACAACCUUCGUC